AUUGAACGCUGGCGGAAUGCUUUACACAUGCAAGUCGAACGGCAGCACGGGGGCAACCCUGGUGGCGAGUGGCGAACGGGUGAGUAACACAUCGGAACGUGCCCAGUCGUGGGGGAUAACGUAGCGAAAGCUACGCUAAUACCGCAUACGAACUCUGGUUGAAAGCGGGGGACUCGCAAGGGCCUCGCGCGAUUGGAGCGGCCGAUGGCAGAUUAGGUAGUUGGUGGGGUAAAGGCCUACCAAGCCGACGAUCUGUAGCUGGUCUGAGAGGACGACCAGCCACACUGGGACUGAGACACGGCCCAGACUCCUACGGGAGGCAGCAGUGGGGAAUUUUGGACAAUGGGCGCAAGCCUGAUCCAGCCAUUCCGCGUGCAGGAUGAAGGCCCUCGGGUUGUAAACUGCUUUGUACGGAACGAAAGGCCUCUUCUAAUACAGGGGGCUCAUGACGGUACCGUAAGAAUAAGCACCGGCUAACUACGUGCCAGCCGCCG
rnacentral:rRNA from 1 species